GCUUUGCACCUUACAGACUAACC
rnacentral:miRNA from 1 species